rnacentral:rRNA from 1 species
UACGGAGGGAGCAAGCGUUACUCGGAAUUAUUGGGCGUAAAGGGCGCGUAGGCGAUUUGAAAAGUCUUGUGUGAAAGCCCCGAGCUUAACUCGGGAAGUGCACAAGAAACUGUUGAAUUUGAGUUCCGGAGAGGAAGGCAGAAUUCCCGGUGUAGCGGUGAAAUGCGUAGAUAUCUGGAGGAACACCGGUGGCGAAGGCGGCAUCCUGGACCAAUAUUGACGCUGAGGAGCGAAAGCCAGGGGAGCAAACGGG